UGCUGCUGAUCAGUUAGAUUAUUACCUGACGCAGCUGUAUAAAUCAGCUUCAGAAGUAAAUGCGUCAAAGCAUUACUUGAAUCAGAAUUUGGAACAUUAUCGGGUUCGUCUUUGACUCUUCGGUUUUGAAACUUUUAUUUUUCCCUGGCAUGGAUGUCAGAAAGAUGUGGACAUUACGGUCUGAUGGUGCUCCAAUAGCGUUACAAUAGCAGUAUUACUAGGAAUAAUGGGACUG
rnacentral:lncRNA from 1 species